GCGUCAUCAGUGAAAUAUAUUUUACCAGCUAAAAAGGCCAAAUGGGAAAUUCGAAAAAGCAAUGAGAUACAAGUUAGCAUCAUUUGGAAUUUGAAACGUGUCAUUGAUGUGUUCCGUCGCUUGAAACAAAACCUUGCAAGUUGCAAGAAACCGGCAAAGGCCCAAGGCGAAGUUUAUGAAGCCAGUCCGUGUAGGACCAGUCCAACCGUAGGAUCACGAUUGCAGAGGUGGAAUGCGUAUAAGGAUGCUGCCACAACGAAUAUCCUAUUUUGUUGCCCAUAGAUUAAUCCUCCAGCCGCUCAUCUAGAUUCUACGUGUGGGUCAAUAGGGGAUGCCUUUGACUUUGCCCCAUUUAGAUGUUUCGUGUUUAGUUAUGCUUUAUGGAGAAGCUGGAUCGGUUGGACCAGGCAAAUAAUGAAGAGCCCCAGAAAAACUGCAUUGUCUCGAACCUCGUCGAACGCAGCGCUCGAUUUGUGACUUUUUUUUGUACCAAUAAAAAAGUUCUAUUAUACCUUCCGAUCCGUUAAAAUAUUAAAUUUUAUAAGUUUAGUUUGAUAA